rnacentral:rRNA from 1 species
AGAGUUUGAUCAUGGCUCAGAUUGAACGCUGGCGGUAUGCUUAACACAUGCAAGUCGAACGAUGACGGAGUGCUUGCACUCCUAAUUAGUGGCGGACGGGUGCGUAACGCGUAGGAAUCUGCCUAUUAGUGGGGGACAACUUAGGGAAACUUAAGCUAAUACCGCAUACGCCCUACGGGGGAAAGGAGGGGAUCGCAAGACCUUUCGCUAAUAGAUGAGCCUGCGUAGGAUUAGCUAGUCGGUGGGGUAAAGGCUCACCAAGGCGACGAUCCUUAACUGGUUUGAGAGAAUGAUCAGUCACACUGGAACUGAGACACGGUCCAGACUCCUACGGGAGGCAGCAGUGGGGAAUAUUGGACAAUGGGCGAAAGCCUGGUCCAGCAAUACCGCGUGUGUGAAGAAGGCCUUAGGGUUGUAAAGCACUUUCAAUUGGAAGGAAAAAUUCGUAGCUAAUAUCUACGAACUUGACAUUACCUUUAGAAGAAGCACCGGCUAACUCCGUGCCAGCAGCCGCGGUAAUACGGAGGGUGCAAGCGUUAAUCGGAAUUACUGGGCGUAAAGCGUGCGUAGGCGGCUCGUUAAGUCAGAUGUGAAAGCCCUGGGCUCAACCUGGGAACUGCAUUUGAAACUGGCGAGCUAGAGUUUGAGAGAGGUAAGUGGAAUUUCAGGUGUAGCGGUGAAAUGCGUAGAGAUCUGAAGGAACACCAGUGGCGAAGGCGACUUACUGGCUUAAAACUGACGCUGAGGUACGAAAGCGUGGGUAGCAAACAGGAUUAGAUACCCUGGUAGUCC